rnacentral:rRNA from 1 species
UACGUAGGGUGCGAGCGUUAAUCGGAAUUACUGGGCGUAAAGCGUGCGCAGGCGGUUAUGUAAGACAGUUGUGAAAUCCCCGGGCUCAACCUGGGAAUUGCAUCUGUGACUGCAUAGCUAGAGUACGGUAGAGGGGGGAUGGAAUUCCGCGUGUAGCAGUGAAAUGCGUAGAUAUGCGGAGGAACACCGAUGGCGAAGGCAAUCCCCUGGACCUGUACUGACGCUCAUGCACGAAAGCGUGGGGAGCAAACAGG